GACGAACGCUGGCGGCGUGCUUAACACAUGCAAGUCGAACGGUGAAGCGCCUUCCUUUUUGGUGGGUGUGGAUGAGUGGCGAACGGGUGAGUAACACGUGAGCAACCUGCCCCCUUCUUCUGGAUAACCGCAUGAAAGUGUGGCUAAUACGGGAUAUUCUGGGUCUGUCGCAUGAUGGGUCUGGGAAAGAUAUUGUUUCGGUGGGGGAUGGGCUCGCGGCCUAUCAGCUUGUUGGUGGGGUGAUGGCCUACCAAGGCGGUGACGGGUAGCCGGCCUGAGAGGGUGGACGGUCACACUGGGACUGAGACACGGCCCAGACUCCUACGGGAGGCAGCAGUGGGGAAUAUUGCACAAUGGGCGCAAGCCUGAUGCAGCGACGCCGCGUGAGGGAUGGAGGCCUUCGGGUUGUGAACCUCUUUCGCCAGUGAGGCAGGCCUGCCUCGUUUGUGGGUGGGUUGACGGUAGCUGGAGAAGAAGCGCCGGCUAACUACGUG
rnacentral:rRNA from 1 species